rfam:Schistosoma margrebowiei strain Zambia genome assembly, scaffold: SMRZ_scaffold0002509
AUCCAAUUGACGUGUCCCAAAUAAGACGAAACUUGUGUCCUGGAU